AGGACACGACGAUCCCUUAUCAGCCUGUAGGCGACCCGAGAGGACAAGCCGGGGGCAGAACAGCGGAAGACCACCCUGGUGUUGAGAGGAGAAUAAACUGGGAGCCUCAGGGAGCGCCAUGGAGGAGCUUUUUCUGUUCCACAGCAGCAGGACGGGCUCUGCUUGAGUUCUUAGGACCUCUCAGUGGAAGUCAAUUAUCGGUGCGGCUGCAGCCAUGAGGAGACCCAGCAACAGCAUGAAGUGGAAUAAAACCGAAGAGCUGGAGGCUCGAA